UGAGGAAUAUUGGUCAAUGGGCGAGAGCCUGAACCAGCCAAGUCGCGUGAAGAAAGAAGGAUCUAUGGUUCGUAAACUUCUUUUGCAGGGGAAUAAAGUGCAGGACGUGUCCUGUUUUGUAUGUACCUUGAGAAAACGGAUCGGCUAACCCCGUCCCAGCAGCCGCGGUAAUACGGAGGAUCCGAGCGUUACCCGGAUUUAUUGGGUUUAAAGGGUGCGUAGGUGGUUUGAUAAGUCAGCGGUGAAAGUUUGCAGCUUAACUGUAAAAAUGCCGCUGAAACUGUCGGACUUGAGUGUAAAUGAGGUAGGCGGAAUGCGUGGUGUAGCGGUGAAAUGCAUAGAUAUCACGCAGAACUCCGAUUGCGAAGGCAGCUUACUAAGCUACAACUGACACUGAAGCACGAAAGCGUGGGGAUCAAACA
rnacentral:rRNA from 1 species